rnacentral:rRNA from 1 species
GGGCCGCCCGUACCCCAAACCGACACAGGUGGUCAGGUAGAGAAUACCGAGGCGAUCGAGUGAACCGUGGUUAAGGAACUCGGCAAAAUGCCCCCGUAACUUCGGGAGAAGGGGGGCCGCGGCUGGUGAUGGGACUUGCUCCCUGAGCUGGCUACGGCCGCAGAGACCAGGCUGAAGCGACUGUCUACUAAAAACACAGGUCCAUGCCAAGUCGCAAGACGAUGUGUAUGGACUGACGCCUGCCCGGUGCUGGAACGUUAAGGGGACCGGUUAGCCGCAAGGCGAAGCUGUGAACUUAAGCGCCAGUAAACGGCGGUGGUAACUAUAACCAUCCUAAGGUAGCGAAAUUCCUUGUCGGGUAAGUUCCGACCUGCACGAAUGGCGUAACGACUUCAGCGCUGUCUCAACCACGGACCCGGCGAAAUCGCACUACGAGUAAAGAUGCUCGUUACGCGCGGCAGGACGGAAAGACCCCGGGACCUUUACUACAGUUUGGUAUUGGUGUUCGAUUCGGUUUGUGUAGGAUAGGUGGGAGACUGUGAAGCCCGGACGCCAGUUCGGGUGGAGUCGUCCUUGAAAUACCACUCUGAUCGUAUUGGAUGUCUAACCUCGGUCCAUGAUCUGGAUCAGGGACAGUGCCUGAUGGGUAGUUUAACUGGGGCGGUUGCCUCCCAAAAAGUAACGGAGGCGCUCAAAGGUUCCCUCAGCCUGGUUGGCAAUCAGGUGUCGAGUGCAAGUACACAAGGGAGCUUGACUGUGAGACCGACGGGUCGAGCAGGGACGAAAGUCGGAACUAGUGAUCCGGCACCGGCAUGUGGAAGCGGUGUCGCUCAACGGAUAAAAGGUACCCCGGGGAUAACAGGCUGAUCUUGCCCAAGAGUUCAUAUCGACGGCAUGGUUUGGCACCUCGAUGUCGGCUCGUCGCAUCCUGGGGCUGGAGUAGGUCCCAAGGGUUGGGCUGUUCGCCCAUUAAAGCGGCACGCGAGCUGGGUUUAGAACGUCGUGAGACAGUUCGGUCCCUAUCCGCCGCGCGCGCAGGAGUCUUGAGGAGGGCUGUCCCUAGUACGAGAGGACCGGGACGGACGAACCUCUGGUGUGCCAGUUGUCCUGCCAAGGGCAUGGCUGGUUGGCUACGUUCGGAAGGGAUAACCGCUGAAAGCAUCUAAGCGGGAAGCUCGCUCCAAGAUGAGGACUCCCACAGGGUUAACCUGGUAAGGCCCCCAGCGAGAACACUGGGUUGAUAGGCCGGAAGUGGAAGCGCAGCAAUGCGUGCAGCUGACCGGUACUAAUAGGCCGAGGACUUGACUC